ACACCCUCACACACAACCGAACUCUCUCUCCCUCUGUUAAUCUUCCCGGCGACUCAACCGGCGGAGCCGGCCGGUGCGCGGCGGCGCCGCCGCCGGUGGCGGAGCUCCGGCAGUCCCUUCUCCGGUCACACACCUCCCCUUCGCCCUUUGUCCUCCUCCGAUCUACACCCCCUCCCCCCUUUUUGCGAUCCAGAAACGGACCACCACCACCACAAACCGGUGGUGGUACGACGGCGCUACAGAGAAACACGAGAGAGAGAGAGACCGAGAGAGAUAGAGAACCGGCGGUCGGAGUCUCGGACCGCCGGUCGGUUCUGUUAUCCGGUGGCGAUUCGCUUAUCCGGUGGUCAAUGUUUUUAUCCGACAAGCUCCUGUUCAGAUUCGCGUUCAGGUUUAAAGUUCAUCUCAGAUUUCAAGUCUCAGGUCCGGGUCAGAUUCAACGGGUUCGGGUUCGGGUUCGGGUCAAACCCGGUUGACCCGGUCAACACCCGAGUCAACUCGGGUCAAAAGUAGGUCAAGCACGGUCAACAUGGGUCAGACGGUUCGUGUAGGUCGGUUCGGGUCAGCCGGUUCGAGUCGGAUCAUGAAGUAGUUCGGUUGACUCGGUCAAACCGAGUCAACUCGGUCAAACCGAGUCAACUCGGUCAAACCGAGUCAACUCGGUCAACUCAGUCAACAGAUCGACGUGAAGAGUGGAAUAUUGUAGAAUGCACGCUAGCGAGUCUCAUCUUGGAAACGACAUCACGAAGUCGUUGCAUUUCAAAGUUAAGGCACGGUUGGAAUAGGAGGACCAUGAAGAGUCGAGUACUUAGUGGGCGU
rnacentral:lncRNA from 1 species